CCCGAGUAGUGGGAAGGGGGGGAAGAGAGACUGCUCUGGUAAAAUAAAAAAACCCUCAGAAUUGUUUGUGGAAACUGCGGGUUUGCUGCCUCUUUUUCCACACUGUUGAGGGUGAAAGAUCCACGUGAAGUCACUAGAACACUGGGAAUAGCAAGGAAAAUGGGGAGAAUUUUAUUGCAAAUAAUUGUAGUUUAUAGAAAACACAUGGAGUACUUGUUAAAGAAAAAGUAGGUAAAAAUAUAAUGCCAAUGUGGAAUAAAUUGACAGCCCCUUCGAUACUUUUUAUGUUGACUUUCAUAAAAAGGAGCAAAAAGUGUUUCAAAACCAACUGAUUCUCAGCCUCUCUGAGAGUAAUGAUGACGAGUUGGCUGUGGGCAAAUAAAACCAGCUGACAUUUGAACAUGCGUGAGAACUACUGUAAAUCCCUGUUUAUGUUUCAGAGGCACAGGGAGCUUUCUGAAAAAGGAAUGUAUUAAACCGCACACACUUCAUAUUCUGUGGCUGAAAGGUGUGGAUACUAAGAUAUCGGGAGGCUGAAUAAUUUAUCCCAGCAGAAAGAGCAAGUCUUUGGCAACUGCGGGCAGCACUAGUGAGACAACACUACUUGUCUGUCAUCAACUUUUCAAAAAAACUGGAUGCAGCCCAGCUGGUGUUCUGCUUUCCUGUCCACAACAUGCACCUGAUACAUGAGACAAGCAAUGAACAUUUUUGAACCCAGGAUCCAUAGAGUGAAAACUCUCCUUAUUCUACGACACCAAGUAAGAAGAGCAUUGGGACCUUUUCCCUGGGAAUGAAUUACAGUUUGCUGCCCUCUGUUAGUGCAAAGCUUAGUUGUGAAGAUCCAUAUGAACUGUCAGGGAUAGUCUAUCCAAGUAACAUCUUCACUAAUAUGGAAGUAUUUUGGCAGAAUCACCUUUUGCUUCCUGUGACACAGUUAUCGAUGGGGAUGAACAAGUGACUGCAGCUGAGAAUACUGUUGUUUCCAAGAAAACAGAAAAUAAGUCUGUAUGUACUUUAGUAAAAUUUUGUCAGAUUGGUUGAUACAUCUGAUAGUCAGAUUUAGGUUAUCCAUGUACCAUGGAAACUGUUUCCAUAGCAAAGAUCUUUUAGCUCAGAGACAGUUGUCUCUGGAUUAAAUCCAAGGAUUCAGAUUGAUAAUCUAGAUCAUUCUCUAGCAGCUGGGAAGGUCAAUACUUAAGAAGAAAUGUCCACACAGCUAUCUGAAGGUUGUACCAUCCCACUGCUGGAAUAUAUUUGUGCCUUCCAGAGCAUGAGAAGUGCCAUGAUGUUUCCUUCCAUUCCAUGCAUAUUGGGUGUUCAGAAUGCCAUCGAGUGGUUUAGAGGCAGUUGCUCAUUCUGCCAAUAUUCACAGUUACCCGCCAGAAAUACAGAUAAUCGAUGGCAUCCCUUUGUCAAACAGCUGUAAUACAGUCUUCCUUUGUAAAGUUUCAAAAAGACCAGCUACUCUACUGCAGAGAAACUACUUUUAACCCAUGUAGUGAGGGUAGAGAGAGUAGAAAGCAUAUAAUGGUAAGGUCUUUCACAUUAAAUACACUGUUACCUGUUUGAAAGCUGAUUAAGAAAGAAUUGUGGGAUCUUGAAUGCUCUUGUGGAUCAACAUACUAACAAAACCCAGGAAGGGCACUGGUUGGGAUUUGUUAAAGGCUAAAUGAAAAAAAUAUGUUGUUUUCUAAACACUAUUAUACAGAAGUAAUAACUGUAUUGAAUUGGAUGUCCUUUGAGAAGUUAUUUUGUGGCCUGAAGAUACAAUUCAACUAUUUCUAUUUCCCAGGAAAUAGGACAGCACUGGCUAAAAGCCCAUUCUGAUUCAGUAGUGAAAUAGGUACAGGAAUUAAAAAAAAAAAAAAAAAGGCAAAACAAUAUGCAACAAGAAAAAAUGAUAAAUAUAUAGCAGUGGAUACACAAAUUCUACACUUCAUAAAUUCUGAAUGAUAAGAGGAUCUAAAACCAUUAGGAAGAAAUUCAUGCCUGACAAGUCUAAGAACAAAAGCAUUUAAAUACAUUGGGUACAGUUUAAAUCCUAGCAGUGGCAAAGAGCCACUGCUUGAUGGGUAAAUUAUUAGUAAUAAUGCAGAAAUAUUCUGUAUUUGGGAAGAAGCAACAUUACAUCUUUAUACCACAAAAGAAUCGGGAAGUCAUUUCAGCAGUAAUCAAGGAGGAAAAUGAACAAUAUCUAACAGGGGAUUAAAUAAAUAUUAAUCAGCAUAGCUAGAGAAGCUGUAUCCUGGCCUCUCAUGAUUUUAAUUAAGUACGGGAUUUCUGAAAAGUUUCUGGAAAAGUCAAAUACUGUUCCACGUUACAUAUUACAAAGGCAAAGUUGCUGAUCCAGGUAAGCAUAAGUUUGUUAGUCUGACACAAGUCCUAGGUAAGACAGAGGUGUGGUUUAUACAGGGUACAGUUAGAAAAAAAUAAUCUGAGGGUUGGAGUGGAAGUAGUGCUAGUCAGUAUGGUUUGUGGAAAAAAGAUACAGCAAAAGAUUUAAAUCAAGUAUGCUUGACAUUUGUUCACAAAGUAUAAGCUACCCCUCUGGGAGCUGGGUUGAAUGCCAUAUAGGUGCAAUAUAUUCAGACUUUUCAAAAUUACAGUACAUGAUUUCAUGUUGCCUGAAGUUCUGAUUAGCACUAAUCAAGACUAGUCUAUGUAAUAUCAAUAAAAUGCAAAUUCACAGUUUAAGAACUAGCUGACAAAUAAACACAGAAAGUACUGGUUACCAGGACACUGUAAUUAAUGGGAACCACCUAACCAAGGCUCCAUACAUGUAAGUAUUAAGUCUGAGCUAGGACUUUUAUUUGUGAUUUAGAAGUAAAUGUAAAAUCACUACUGGAAGGCAUUUAUUUACAAAUCAGUUUCAACCAGUGCAAUAAAUAGAGGCGCAAUGAGUUAGCAAGAUUCAUUUGUGUGGCUUAAGUUCAAAAUGAUCUACUUUUCCUAGUUGUGAGUGGAUAAUUUAUAGCAUCUGAGAGAAGUAUCUUGUAUUUGAUAGGAUCCACAAUAAAUGUGGAAGGGACCAUCAGCUGAGGUGAUUUAGUAGGAGAUUGGGACUAGCUCAUUUUCCACUACCAGUGGAUAGUUGACCUCCUAAUCACCCAUCACAUAUAAAAUAUCAAUAUGAAAGCAAAAUUACUAGAUGACGAAAGAAAACAAUAUUUAUGGGUAUUUACUGUGCUCUUGGGAGAAAAUAGCUAGAAUCUGGGGCCAGGAAUCUGAGGGACUUUUUGACUGGACCUUGCUGCUAGCUUGCUGAUGACCCUGCACAAAUUACAUCAUCUUCCUCAUCUUAAAUUUCCCUGUCUAGAAAAGAGGUAUAACGAUACUCACCAUUUUCAAAGAGCACUUAAUGAAAAGUGCUGUCUAGUCUUAUUGGUUCUGUAUUAUAUUAACUACAGCUUUGUGUGAUGGAUGUAGCUGGUAACUGCUCUCAAACAUCUGAUAAAGAAACAGACUGACAAAACACUUAAUGAAAGCAAAAGUGAGGAUGCCUUUUGGAGUCUUGUAUCCUUUCAAGCAUUCAAUGACAUUCAAAGUUCAAAGAAUCAGAAUGACAGUGUAUCACCACAACUCACUGGACUGUGUUUUUGGAAUAGUUCCAUAUAGUGGUAGAGACAUACUCUAUCUUUCUAGCUAGUGCAGAUCACUUAUGGCAUGAGAUAGGUAAUUGCAGACAAUUUAAAAAAAAAUAAAAAUAAUAAAUAUUCCCUCACUCGUAA